rnacentral:rRNA from 1 species
UAAUACGGAGGGUGCAAGCGUUAAUCGGAAUUACUGGGCGUAAAGCGCACGCAGGCGGUUUGUUAAGUCAGAUGUGAAAUCCCCGGGCUCAACCUGGGAACUGCAUUUGAAACUGGCAAGCUAGAGUCCCGUAGAGGGGGUAGAAUUCCAGGUGUAGCGGUGAAAUGCGUAGAGAUCUGGAGGAAUACCGGUGGCGAAGGCGGCCCCCUGGACGAAGACUGACGCUCAGGUGCGAAAGCGUGGGGAGCAAACAGGAUUAGAUACCCUGGUAGUCCACGCUGUAAACGAUGUCGAUUUGGAGGUUGUGCCCUUGAGGCGUGGCUUCCGGAGCUAACGCGUUAAAUCGACCGCCUGGGGAGUACGGCCGCAAGGUU